rnacentral:rRNA from 1 species
UACGUAGGGGGCAAGCGUUGUCCGGAAUCAUUGGGCGUAAAGAGCGUGUAGGCGGCCCGAUAAGUCCGCUGUGAAAGUCCAGGGCUCAACCCUGGGAUGCCGGUGGAUACUGUCGGGCUCGAGUCCGGAAGAGGAGUGUGGAAUUCCUGGUGUAGCGGUGAAAUGCGCAGAUAUCAGGAGGAACACCGGUGGCGAAGGCGGGUCUCUGGGCCGGCACUGACGCUGAGGAGCGAAAGCGUGGGUAGCAAACAGG